UGGUGCGGCACAUCGGCUGGCAGGGGCCAGGAGUCGGCUCGGCAUGGGCACUACUUGGGCUGUCGGCUUGGCUAAAGCCAAGGGCAGCUUAUUGUGGAUUGAGGCAUUGGGGCGCAGUGCUAGGAGAACCGCAUGGCUUAUGUCCUUUAGGCUCUUGGACCUAACGCAGGCCAGGCUGGUAAUUGAGAGAAAUCAGGAAGUCGCGAGCCUCUGGGCUGUUGGAAUGCUGGGCAUGCAGGCCUCCUGCCUACUGGUCUGAGAGAAAAAUUAAGGGAAAAGCCAGUAUGGAUUGAGCUUCCCUGCUAAGUACCGUGAAUGAUGUUAGCUGCUUAGUCCUCUUGGUCGGGAGAAAGGUGGGCUGCUCCAGAGAUAUGAGAGAAAGAAAAUGGUCCAAGGACAAUAAAUGAUUUGACGCUUAUUAAUGCGGGAAAGAUACUGGAAAACACAGGACACUUGCUGAUUCCAGAAAUCCAGUUGGUGAACUCCCUGGAAGUCUCAUCACUAUGCACGUGGUUGUGCGCCCUCCUAUUGCAGACAAAAAGAACGAUAAAUUGAUGAAUGAUUCUCCAGAGCAGCCUCAAUGUUCAUGUUCAAUAUUGUAGCUUCUGGUAACAAGCUUCGUGGAGCUCCUUCAGUCUGUUAUUGUUUUCCGUGUCUUCUCAUGUGUUGCUGAUGGGAUGCAGUUCAAAUCUCAGUUACCGGGCGGUGAAGUAGCAUCAAGAAAUUCAUGGAUUCAUCAGCCAGACUUUUGUUACUUUGAAUCUUAUCGUGUCCGUAUGUAAAACGCGUUAUAGUUCCUUAUAGCAUGUGAUUUGUUACUGAGAAAAGGACCAUAUUGAUGGAUUAGGAGCUUCUUCUGUUUUUCUGGCAUCAAUGAAUACAAGCGUAAAAGAAAAAAAGCAAACGAACAUAUUGAUUUGAUUGAUUCGCAAGCUUAUUGUAAAAGCUGAAUUCGUUUUUAUUGGUUCAAGAGCGUUUUUUAUUCACCUGUA